GGGGUUGUAGCUCAGUUGGGAGAGCGCGUCGUUCGCAAUGACGAGGUCGUCGGUUCGAUCCCGAUCAACUCCACCA
rnacentral:tRNA from 5 species